rnacentral:rRNA from 1 species
UUAAAGGAAUUGACGGGCCGCACAAGCGGUGGAGCAUGUGGUUUAAUUCGACGCAACGCGAAGAACCUUACCAGGGCUUGACAUCCCCUGACCGCGUAUGUAAAGUACGUUUUCACCCUCGGGUGACAGGGAGACAGGUGGUGCAUGGUUGUCGUCAGCUCGUGUCGUGAGAUGUUGGGUUAAGUCCCGCAACGAGCCGCAACCCCUACGUUUAGUUGCUAACAGGUGAAGCUGAGCACUCUAGACGAACUGCCGUUGACAAAACGGAGGAAGGUGGGAUGACGUCAAAUCAUCAUGCCCUUAUGUUCUGGGCUACACACGUGCUACAAUGGCCGGUACAGACGGAGGCGAAGCCGCGAGGCGGAGCAAAUCCGAAAAAGCCGGUCUCAGUUCGGAUUGCAGGCUGCAAUUCGCCUGCAUGAAGUCGGAAUCGCUAGUAAUCGCAGGUCAGCAUACUGCGGUGAAUACGUUCCCGGGCCUU